UACGAAGGGAGCUAGCGUUGUUCGGAAUUACUGGGCGUAAAGGGCGCGUAGGCGGUUUGGCAAGUUGGAUGUGAAAGCCCUGGGCUCAACCCGGGAAUUGCAUUCAAGACUGCCUUGCUUGAAUUCGGUAGAGGUUGGUAGAAUUCCCAGUGUAGAGGUGAAAUUCGUAGAGAUUGGGAAGAAUACCCGUGGCGAAGGCGGCCAACUGGACCGACAUUGACGCUGAGGCGCGAAAGCGUGGGGAUCAAACAGG
rnacentral:rRNA from 1 species